rnacentral:tRNA from 1 species
UAGCUGAGUGGUAAAGCACUUGGCUUAGGACUGGGGGUCCCGGGUUCAAAUCCUGG